rnacentral:lncRNA from 1 species
AUGUUUCUAUACAGUGUCUGCUUCAUUCUUCUCUUUUCAGGUAAUGCAUGUGGAGAAGGAAUAGCUCCUCUCUCCUCGUCUGAACUUGUUACCGAUGGUGACUCCAUUACUUUGGUCUGCAAUUACAAUGGGACUUACAAUAGUGAUUCUCUCCUGUGGUAUCGUCAAUUCAGCAGCUCCAAACCAGAGUUUUUGUUUCUGGUUAGUGAAGCCAAAUUCGAGCAGCCAGCUGACCCUCCAAUACCUGGAGUGUUUGCUAAAUUAAAUGAGGAGAAAACCCGUGUGGUUCUGGAGAUCUCCUCUGCUUCAGUAUCAGACUCUGCUCUGUACUACUGUGCCCUGCAGCCCACACUGACAGGAAAACACAAAACACUGUACGAAAUUAAGGGCAAAACAACUAAACAAACAAUCUGAUGAACUACACUAAAUAGAAGAUUAAACCUCUAUAUGACUGUGUCUUUAUUGCAUGAUGAUCAGGCAGACCAUCCACACACUUCUCCUCAAUUUACAGGAGACCUUCAAACAUAUUAAAUGGAUGCCUUUGCUUGUUUAAUAAGUUGUUUGUAAUGAACUAAGAAAAUAAAAUGUAUAAUUUCCAAUAAUAUAUAGAAAAAUGUUUAUUUAGUUUUGCUUUAUUGUUUGGUAAUUCAUUAAGGUAUUAACAUUUGUUCAAAUAAAAAUUGUUCAUAAAUGAUGAAUAACACUUCUUAAUUCAAAGAUGCCCUUCAUUUUAGUUUUUCGAUGUCCAGUAAAUAUAAGAACAUUUUCUAAUCAUUUUUUUUUUAAGAAUCUCACAGGGAAUAUAUGUAUGUUGUGUGAAAUAUCUGUGUGCACUAUUAAUUUCUAAGAGUCAACAGAGUCCCACAAUCCUUUGGGAGGAGUUUGGUGAGAAUGGGUACAGCAGUGGGAGGCCAUGUAUCCACAAAUCUUAUUUUGUAUAUGAUCACUAACAGUCAUAAUGGUUUUGUUUUAUCUCACUGUUUUGGCACUUCUUACAGGUAUUUACAUUUGAUAUUUAUAUUUGUUAAUAUUUCUAUAAACUGUAUGUCUAUAAAAGUAUAUUAAUGAAGAUACAAUUACUGAAUGUGCACUAAUUGUUCUGUUGUGAUUUCCCAGAGAGUGUUUUUGCGAAUGCAAUAACAGCCCUGUCUUCCGAAAAUAAUGCUUUUGAAGGAGAAAAGGCGACUGUUUCAUGCAACUACAGUGGAAGUAACAUACUGAGUUUGCAGUGGUACAGACAGUAUCCCAACACUGCCCCUGAAUUUCUCUUGCAAGCUUUUGAAAGUUUGGGUCCAGCGCAGAAAGGACCGUCAUGUUGCUGAAGCUCAAAAAGACCAAAAUCAUCUGAACCUGGAGAUCUCCAAAACUGAGGUGGCAGAUUCUGCAAUAUACUACUGUGCCCUGGUGCCCACAGUAACAGGAAACCCUCCAACACUGUACAAAAACAUGAGAUGAGGAGGAAUUCAUUUUAUUUACAUGUUUAGCUAAUUUUCGAAAACUUUUAAUGAUAUCCCAAAUAAUAUUCUUCUAAUGUCAAAGUGUUCGUCACACAGAGACAGUAUUUAUCAGAGAAAAUGUAGAUUUAGAGGGCGGAGCUCUCUCACUAAGAUGCUGAUUCAAAGUCUCUCUACUUUCACUGAC